UACGGAGGGGGCAAGCGUUAUUCGGAAUUAUUGGGCGUAAAGGGCGCGUAGGCGGCUAGAUGUGUCAAAGGUGAAAUCCCUCGGCUCAACUGAGGAACUGCCUUUGAAACUGGCUGGCUUGAGUAUGGAAGAGGGUCUCGGAAUUCCCGGUGUAGAAGUGAAAUUCGUAGAUAUCGGGAGGAACACCGGUGGCGAAGGCGGGUCUCUGGGCAAUAACUGACGCUGAGGAGCGAAAGCGUGGGGAGCAAACAGG
rnacentral:rRNA from 1 species